rnacentral:lncRNA from 1 species
CUAAGCAUGGAGGUGCCGUAAAGCGAGGAAAGACAGUUAUGUGCCCACCGAACAUAGAGGAAUCAUAUUGCAGACGGGCCGUAUAACCUUGCCAUGAUACGACGAAAGCUGACGGCAUGUGUACGCAAGCAACAGCCACUCAACAAACAUCUCCUAAGCUAUCACACACCAGAUGCAGGGGCGGGCACAGACUCCAGCACCCCCAGCUCCGUUACGAGUCGCCCAUGGAAAGGCAACGGGAUUCAACGAGGUGGGCAUGGGGCCAGGAGGCAGAUCUGGGUCCCGCGUCCAGACCUAAUCUCUAGGUGCCGCCACUUCCUUAUCUGUAAAAUGGGCAAGACACAGCUGCCCUGCGCAGUUCACAGGGCUGCCCCUGUGGAGUGACAAGAGAUACCAGAUAAAAAGAGCAUUUCACAAACAAUAACGCGUUCAGUCAAUCAGGCAAAAAAAAAAAAAGGGGCAGGGGCCAGGCUCAGUGGCUCACGCCUGCAAUCCCAGCACUUUGGGAGGCUGAGGUGGGUGGAUCACCUGAGGUCAGGAGUUCGAGACCAGCCUGGUCAACAUGGUGAAGCCCCGUCUCUACUAAAAAUACAAAAAUUAGGGCUGGGUGCAGUGGCUUCUGCCUGUAAUCCCAGCACUUUGGGAGGCCGGGGCGGGCAGAUCACCUGAGGUCAGGAGUUUGAGACCAACAUGGUGAAACCCUAUCUCUGCUAAAAAUACAAAAAUUAGCUGGGUGUGUGGCGGGCCCCUGUAAUUCCAGCUACUCGGGAGGCUGUGGCAGGAGAAUCACUUGAACCCAGG